rnacentral:rRNA from 1 species
AGAGCGAACGCUGGCGGCAGGCUUAACACAUGCAAGUCGAGCGGGCGUAGCAAUACGUCAGCGGCAGACGGGUGAGUAACGCGUGGGAACAUACCUUUUGGUUCGGAACAACACAGGGAAACUUGUGCUAAUACCGGAUAAGCCCUUACGGGGAAAGAUUUAUCGCCGAAAGAUUGGCCCGCGUCUGAUUAGCUAGUUGGUGAGGUAACGGCUCACCAAGGCGACGAUCAGUAGCUGGUCUGAGAGGAUGAUCAGCCACAUUGGGACUGAGACACGGCCCAAACUCCUACGGGAGGCAGCAGUGGGGAAUAUUGGACAAUGGGCGCAAGCCUGAUCCAGCCAUGCCGCGUGAGUGAUGAAGGCCCUAGGGUUGUAAAGCUCUUUUGUGCGGGAAGAUAAUGACGGUACCGCAAGAAUAAGCCCCGGCUAACUUCGCGCCAACAGCCGC